rnacentral:rRNA from 1 species
UAGUGGCAGACGGGUGAGUAAUGCAUGGGAAUCUACCUAGUAGUAUGGGAUAGCCACUGGAAAUGGUGGGUAAUACCGUAUAAUCCCCGCGGGGGAAAGAUUUAUCGCUAUUAGAUGAGCCUAUGUCGGAUUAGCUAGUUGGUGGGGUAAUGGCCUACCAAGGCAGUGAUCUGUAGCUGGUCUGAGAGGAUGAUCAGCCACACUGGAACUGAGACACGGUCCAGACUCCUACGGGAGGCAGCAGUGGGGAAUAUUGGACAAUGGGCGCAAGCCUGAUCCAGCUAUGCCGCGUGAGUGAGGAAGGCCUUAGGGUUGUAAAACUCUUUCAGUAGGGAAGAUAAUGA